CCUUCCUUGUGGAGUUUCUGUUGUGAGCCUAGAUCUUCAGAGAUGGCCUCACUCCAGAAUCAGGAUGCUAAAAUCAGCCCUGUGUUACAAGAUGAUGUGCUUCUCCUGCUGCACCACUGGUGACUUCAAACAGCCAUCUGAAAACCUACCUCAGAACACCAUUCUAAAUAGCAACUGGUUUUUAAUUGAUGUCUGCCAAAAGAAGAGGAGUUUAACGC